UACGGAGGAUGCAAGCGUUAUCCGGAAUUACUGGGCGUAAAGGGCGCGUAGGCGGCCUUCUAAGUCAGACGUGAAAUCCCCCGGCUUAACCUGGGAACUGCGUCUGAUACUGGAAGGCUUGAAUCCGGGAGAGGGAUGCGGAAUUCCAGGUGUAGCGGUGAAAUGCGUAGAUAUCUGGAGGAACACCGGUGGCGAAGGCGGCAUCCUGGACCGGCAUUGACGCUGAGGCGCGAAAGCCAGGGGAGCAAACGGG
rnacentral:rRNA from 1 species